GCGAGUGAAGCGGCAAAAGCUCAAAUUUGAAAUCUGGCACUUUCAGUGUCCGAGUUGUAAUUUGAAGAAGGUAACUUUGGAGUUGGCCCUUGUCUAUGUUCCUUGGAACAGGACGUCACAGAGGGUGAGAAUCCCGUGCGAUGAGGUGUCCAAUUCUAUGUAAAGUGCUUUCGAAGAGUCGAGUUGUUUGGGAAUGCAGCUCUAAGUGGGUGGUAAAUUCCAUCUAAAGCUAAAUAUUGGCGAGAGACCGAUAGCGAACAAGUACAGUGAUGGAAAGAUGAAAAGAACUUUGAAAAGAGAGUGAAAAAGUACGUGAAAUUGUUGAAAGGGAAGGGCUUGAGAUCAGACUCGGUAUUUUGCAAGCCUAUCCUUCGUGGAGAGGUUUAUUAGCAGCUUACCGGGCCAGCAUCGGUUUGGAUGGUAGGAUAAUGGCAUUGGAAUGUGGCUCCUCGGAGUGUUAUAGCCUUUGUUGAUACUGCCUAUCUAGACCGAGGACUGCGUCUUUGACUAGGAUGCUGGCGUAAUGAUCUUAAGCCGCCC
rnacentral:rRNA from 2 species